AACAACCCCAAAUGCUCUCUCCCAACUCCCCUUUAUUCCCAGAUUCCGGCGAUGAACACCAUACCAGUCGUCGUCAACUACCGCACCAACUACCGUCUCCGGUGGCCGUCGAAGCCCAAAAUACACCGACAAGUUCAUAUCGAUGCUAGGAGUGCAGAUUGGUCUCCGACUCGCGAGAAACAACCUCUAACACCGUGUAAAUGGGUGAGAGCUCUUCGACUUCAACCUCGCCUAUCUGACUUUUUCAUUAUCAGAUUGAGCCAAUAUCGGAGUAUGUUACACCCCUCACCAUCGGGCUUCAUCUCACCGUUCGGAUUCAUCGUCAUAAUCCCUGAGAACCGAUGAGACUUUGGUCGAAUGGCUUUCAUCGUUGCAAGGAGAGCUGGAAAUGCUAAGGGGAACCACAGCUGGGUUCUCACGAGCGACCUGCUGCUGUGUGGGCAUCACGAUGGGGACUACCAUCUAGGACCACUAGAGUGACAUGACUGUUGGAGUGUCUUUGGUUGGAGGUGAAGCAUUGUAGGUGACGGAACUAUGAUGGUUACCUCCCUGGUGUUUCAGAAAACCCUAAACUGCUUGGGCCACCUGAUUUCACUUGUAAAUUGGUCCAUUUCUUCUUGCACUGCCUUGUAAUGUAGUUGGGUCUUUGUACCAUGGUUUGGGCUUCAUAAAUGUGAACCUUGUACAAACAUAUGUAAUAUAAGUUAGUGGUUAUAUUUAAUUUCCGUUCCUC